ensembl:lncRNA
UAAGGAGAUGGUGUGGUCCCACCGUGUUUAGCUUCUCUGGAGAAUUACAACAGAAUCUUUUGGGAGUAACACAUGCUGUCAUUAUCAGCAGAAGUAUCAGUACUUCAACACCUCAACAUCAUCAACAUUGUGGUACUUACCCACCAACUCUGCACAGACCUAGGAUGGGUACCCCGACAUAAAUAUUACACCAUCUUUCUCCUUGACUCCUCCUCUGUGUUCUUAUCCAACAGAACUUUCUGCAGCAAAGGAAGUGUUCUCUGUAAUCCCUGUGCUCCGGUCAACCUGGUGAUGAUUCGGUUACAUAUCCAGACAAACCAGCAGAGACGCACGCGCAGAUGCCAGAAGUGCUUCACCCCCAAGUAUGACGAUCGAGCAUUUCUCCAGACUUUGCUGAAGUUCACAGGAAGCAGGACGCUCUUCAUUUUUCAC